rnacentral:rRNA from 1 species
UGAGGUACGAAAGCGUGGGAGCGAACAGGAUUAGAUACCCCUGGUAGUCCACGCCCUAAACGAUGAGGACUGGCUGUCGGCGCUAUAGACGCGUCGGUAGCGAAGCUAACGCGUUAAGUUCUCCGCCUGGGGAGUACGACCGCAAGGUUGAAACUCAAAGGAAUUGACGGGGGCCCGCACAAGCGGUGGAGCAUGUGGUUUAAUUCGAUGCAACGCGAAGAACCUUACCAUCCCUUGACAUCCUCAGAACGGUCUGUAAUGGACCUGUGCCUUCGGGAACUGAGUGGCAGGUGCUGCACGGCUGUCGUCAGCUCGUGUCGUGAGAUGUUGGGUUAAGUCCCGCAACGAGCGCAACCCCUAUCUAUAGUUGCCAGCACGUAAUGGUGGGAACUCUAUAGAGACUGCCGGUGAUAAGCCGGAGGAAGGUGGGGACGACGUCAAGUCAUCAUGGCCCUUACGGGAUGGGCUACACACGUGCUACAAUGGUGUAUACAGAGGGCUGCCAACCCGCGAGGGGGAGCUAAUCCCAGAAAGUACAUCUUAGUCCGGAUCGCAGUCUGCAACUCGACUGCGUGAAGUCGGAAUCGCUAGUAAUCGCGAAUCAGCAACGUCGCGGUGAAUACGUUCCCGGGCCU